GGAAUUUUGGACAAUGGGCGCAAGCCUGAUCCAGCAAUGCCGCGUGCAGGAUGAAGGCCUUCGGGUUGUAAACUGCUUUUGUACGGAGCGAAACGGCUUCCCCUAAUACGGGGAGCUAAUGACGGUACCGUAAGAAUAAGCACCGGCUAACUACGUGCCAGCAGCCGCGGUAAUACGUAGGGUGCGAGCGUUAAUCGGAAUUACUGGGCGUAAAGCGUGCGCAGGCGGUUAUAUAAGACAGAUGUGAAAUCCCCGGGCUCAACCUGGGACCUGCAUUUGUGACUGUAUAGCUAGAGUACGGUAGAGGGGGGUGGAAUUCCGCGUGUAGCAGUGAAAUGCGUAGAUAUGCGGAGGAACACCGAUGGCGAAGGCAAUCCCCUGGACCUGUACUGACGCUCAUGCACGAAAGCGUGGGGAGCAAACAGGAUUAGAUACCCUGGUAGUCCACGCCCUAAACGAUGUCAACUGGUUGUUGGGUCUUCACUGACUCAGUAACGAAGCUAACGCGUGAAGUUGACCGCCUGGGGAGUACGGCCGCAAGGUUGAAACUCAAAUGAAUUGACGG
rnacentral:rRNA from 1 species